AGCGAACGCUGGCGGCAGGCCUAACACAUGCAAGUCGAACGAAGUCUCCGGACUUAGUGGCGGACGGGUGAGUAACACGUGGGAACGUACCUUUUGGUUCGGAACAACUCAGGGAAACUUGAGCUAAUACCGGAUGAGCCCUUAGGGGGAAAGAUUUAUCGCUGAAAGAGCGGCCCGCGUUAGAUUAGCUAGUUGGUGAGGUAAAGGCUCACCAAGGCUACGAUCUAUAGCUGGUCUGAGAGGAUGAUCAGCCACACUGGGACUGAGACACGGCCCAGACUCCUACGGGAGGCAGCAGUGGGGAAUCUUGCGCAAUGGGCGAAAGCCUGACGCAGCCAUGCCGCGUGAAUGAUGAAGGUCUUAGGAUUGUAAAAUUCUUUUACCAGGGACGAUAAUGACGGUACCUGGAGAAAAAGCCCCGGCUAACUUCGUGCCAGCCGCCGCCGUAAUAC
rnacentral:rRNA from 1 species